CGUAGGGUGCGAGCGUUAAUCGGAAUUACUGGGCGUAAAGUGUGCGCAGGCGGCUCCGCAAGUCGAGUGUGAAAUCCCCGAGCUUAACUUGGGAAUUGCGCUCGAAACUACGGAACUGGAGUGUGGCAGAGGAAGGUGGAAUUCCACGUGUAGCGGUGAAAUGCGUAGAGAUGUGGAGGAAUACCGAUGGCGAAGGCAGCCUUCUGGGCCAACACUGACGCUCAUGCACGAAAGCGUGGGGAGCAAACAGGAUUAGAUACCCUGGUAGUCCACGCCCUAAACGAUGAUGACUAGUUGUUGGAGGAGUUAAAUCCUUUAGUAACGCUGCUAACGCGUGAAGUCAUCCGCCUGGGGAGUACGGUCGCAAGAUUA
rnacentral:rRNA from 1 species